rnacentral:lncRNA from 1 species
CCGGACUUAUAAUUGUAAGUCCUUGUUGGACUCAGAAUGUAGUUGCGAUUGAAUUAGGAUUAAUUCUAACUAAUGUCCUAGUUUAUCUCCUUUACCCCUUCCUUUCUUGUCACAACUGAUUGUAGCUGAUCUAAUGAAACGUCAUGCCCCUUUUUUCAAAUUGUCCAUGUUGAUUUUCAGUUUCUUUUUUUUAACAGGCCCAUUCUAAAAAGGAUUUUCAUCAUUGAUCAUAAUCAUAUAAAAGUCGGCAGUGCUGUCUUUCAUUAUGAUGCCAAGUUUGAGCGCUAUCUGUAUACCAGCUUGCCUACAACCGCUGGAUAAGUCAUUUUACCUCAUUAGUGCUCCAUGAUUUUUACAAUGAACGAAAUUAAAAAUCGUCAUUCCAGCUUAAGGGAGUUAUCACAUUGCAAUAACAUCUCUCACGAGUCAGUUCGUACAAUUCUGACAGAAAAUGUGGGCAUGAGAAACGUCGCUGCACGGCUUGUUCCAAAAAAAAAAGCUGGAUUUUCUGCAAAAACUACCGUGUGUUAGUCUUUUUUGACAUGCUUUAUCGUGUGAAUUCCGACCCAUUCCUCCCCCUUGUUCCUCUUAUCGUUUUGUAUUUUCUUUUAUCUAUAUAUAUGUAUUAAAGUACUGUCUUCUACUUAGUAUAAAUAGUCAUGUAUUAAUUAGAGUAGGUUUUUGUAUUAUAAAGAAUACAGAUGUUCCUUUAA